rnacentral:rRNA from 1 species
AUUGGGACUGAGAUACGGCCCAGACUCCUACGGGAGGCAGCAGUGGGGAAUAUUGCACAAUGGGCGCAAGCCUGAUGCAGCGACGCCGCGUGCGGGAUGACGGCCUUCGGGUUGUAAACCGCUUUUGAUCGGGAGCAAGCCUUCGGGUGAGUGUACCUUUCGAAUAAGCACCGGCUAACUACGUGCCAGCAGCCGCGGUAAUACGUAGGGUGCAAGCGUUAUCCGGAAUUAUUGGGCGUAAAGGGCUCGUAGGCGGUUCGUCGCGUCCGGUGUGAAAGUCCAUCGCUUAACGGUGGAUCUGCGCCGGGUACGGGCGGGCUGGAGUGCGGUAGGGGAGACUGGAAUUCCCGGUGUAACGGUGGAAUGUGUAGAUAUCGGGAAGAACACCAAUGGCGAAGGCAGGUCUCUGGGCCGUUACUGACGCUGAGGAGCGAAAGCGUGGGGAGCGAACAGGAUUAGAUACCCUGGUAGUCCACGCCGUAAACGGUGGAUGCUGGAUGUGGGGCCCGUUCCACGGGUUCCGUGUCGGAGCUAACGCGUUAAGCAUCCCGCCUGGGGAGUACGGCCGCAAGGCUAAAACUCAAAGAAAUUGACGGGGGCCCGCACAAGCGGCGGAGCAUGCGGAUUAAUUCGAUGCAACGCGAAGAACCUUACCUGGGCUUGACAUGUUCCCGACAGCCGUAGAGAUAUGGCCUCCCUUCGGGGCGGGUUCACAGGUGGUGCAUGGUCGUCGUCAGCUCGUGUCGUGAGAUGUUGGGUUAAGUCCCGCAACGAGCGCAACCCUCGCCCUGUGUUGCCAGCACGUCAUGGUGGGAACUCACGGGGGACCGCCGGGGUCAACUCGGAGGAAGGUGGGGAUGACGUCAGAUCAUCAUGCCCCUUACGUCCAGGGCUUCACGCAUGCUACAAUGGCCGGUACAACGGGAUGCGACGCGGCGACGCGGAGCGGAUCCCUGAAAACCGGUCUCAGUUCGGAUCGCAGUCUGCAACUCGACUGCGUGAAGGCGGAGUCGCUAGUAAUCGCGAAUCAGCAACGUCGCGGUGAAUGCGUUCCCGGGCCUUGUACACACCGCCCGUCAAGUCAUGAAAGUG